AGGGAUGUAGAUCAGUGGUAGAGUGCUUGCCUAGCAUGCAGGGGGCCUUGGGUUUGAUCCCCAGCAUCACAC
rnacentral:tRNA from 1 species